CUACAGCUAAUGUUGAUCUAUCAGUUGUAAAAUUGCCGCAAUUGAUCGCAAAUAUUUUCUUGCAACACCCCCUAAGACAUACAAAAUAGCAUUGGCUAUGAGUUAGAAUUGAAAAAAAUUAAAAAUAUUUAGAACCAUGAAUCCUAAGCGAAGGGGAAGAAUAAGGAUUACUCAGUAAAAAUGUAGUGUUUGAAUGGGAUUUGUUACCAUUUUAGAAAAAGAAAAAAAAAACACUGAAUAAUGAAGGAGGCAAGUACACUCCCAGGAUCAAAGCAUAUGAGUGGUGUCAAAAUAAGGGAAUAUUUGGCAAGCAUGUAUUAUGAAAUGCACAAACUGCGACAUGUCACUGAAAUGACAAGUCUCAAGAACCAUAAAAGAUUUGGGGGAAAUCACUUCCUCCUGUUCUUAUAACUUGAUAUAGUCGCAUCUUUCACGCAGGAAUUUGACAAGCAUCUUAUUGCUUAUCCUUGCAUACAUCGGCAAAAACAACGGGGGAAUGCAGGAAGACUCAUCGUGAAAGACAAUUAGCAGUUCCAACAGUUCCCAUUGUUUUAUCCAAGCUAAAGCCGGGGUAAUAAUAAUAGCAGGGCCCGCUGGUAGAACAGUUUUCGAAACUGAAGUGGCUACCCUGGGUAAAUAUACCUACAUUAUUAUAAUGAAUAUGAGCGUUGGUGAUGAUUAGAUGCUUGUGGGAUCCUUCAUGAAAGAUGUCUUACCGACUUAAAGUGGUGGCUUGUACAUAGAGCAGAGUGAAGUUAUAACUGAUUAUUUCAUUCAUAAAUGCUGCAAUUUUCAUUGAAUGAAAAUGAUUCUGAAACGAAUCUAUGUUGCUUAAUCUACUUAGUUUGCUAUCAACACAAAGCACCCAUUGUAACUUGGUGGACAAGGUGAUUUCAAAUUAAUUGAAUUGAAAAUUCCUUCAUAAAUGCUGAAAAGCUGCUAAAUUCCUCUUAUGAUGUUAAAUUCAGGUCAUAAUGUGCUUUCACUUAUAACUGCCUACACCAUUUUUUAUCAUGAUUAUGGUCUUUCUUUAUACCUCAUUUAAAAUGCUUGUAAUAUACUUUGUAUAACCUUGUAACAAAAUUGUGUAAAAUGUUUGAACAGUCCUCCAUUAAUGUGUAAAGGAGAAGUGUAUUUUACAUGUAUUUAAAUAUGAACAGCUUCAAAACCUGCUUCCAGGGGCCUGUUUCGUAAAGGACUUGCAACUUUGCCAUAAUGGCAAAGUUACAACAGUUGUAACUCUCUAUGAAACGGGCCCCAGAUGUGAUGUAAGGAGACAUAAGAUGGCAUUAGAGAUGUAUUGUGUAAAUGAUUCGUUAUUGAAGUUAGAAAUUGGUAAAUGCAUUCUUAACCCAGGGAUUGAUUUUGAAAGCACUUGUUAGUCCACCCAUCACCUACAUGUAUUUGAUCUUUGGUUAUACUCUACAUAACAUGGUAGUUUGGGGAGCAUUUCAUGAAAGGACCUGACAACUUGUCAGACAAAAAUGUUGAUGAAAUGCUCCCCUGAACUGAAAAACUUACAUUCAUAAGGAUUUUUCCUGCUAUAAAAAAUCUGUUUUAAAUUUGAAUCAUUGUUUAGUCCCUGCUUUAAAAGGUUAAAUGUCUGAUAAAAAAAACUCCAUUUUGAAAGCUCAACAUGUCAACUUAAUAGUCUACAUGAGGUUCGAGCUUUUCGACACUAUCAUUAAGUAUAGUUUUGAAAUAAACUUGUCUUAAACAAUGACUACCAGUGCUUUCCAUUUUGCAAAUGGGGAAGAAAGUAUUUUCAACCAAUACUUCCAUGUUUACAGGCUUGCAAUGCCAAGUUGAUCUAAGAUUAAGGAAAAUAUAGCACCUAUUCUGUAACCAACCUUGUUAAUAUGUAUAGCUUCCUAGUAUAAUACAUUAUAAUGCCAUUUCAAUAUCUGACCAAAAUUUGUGAGUGCUUGCCACCGUUUGUGAAAUUGAUUUCUACGCUUUGUACUUUACGUUCUUGCCAUUUGUUAAUAUGUACACUUUAUGUUUUAGUGUGUUAAGAGUAGUUGUGAAAUAUAUUUAUCGGUAUGCAGCUUUUUUACCCCAGUGCAAAUAUUUUGUUAAUAUAUAUAGUUGGGACUCAAAAUUCUUAGUUUAUAUACUUAGUAUACUUAUAGACACACAUUAACAUGCAGCCACUUUCAAUGACUCAAAGUCGUAAUAUGUCGGCAGAAUCAUCAAAAUUAAAGUUUAAAUAUGAUUUAAUACAUGUAUAAUGGAGAGAGAAAUCCAUUCCACCACUAAGAUUUAUAAUUUUGAUAACAAAA